AACGAACGCUGGCGGCAUGCCUAACACAUGCAAGUCGAACGAGACCUUCGGGUCUAGUGGCGCACGGGUGCGUAACGCGUGGGAACCUGCCCUUAGGUUCGGAAUAACUCCCCGAAAGGGGUGCUAAUACCGGAUAAUGUCUUCGGACCAAAGAUUUAUCGCCUUUGGAUGGGCCCGGGUUGGAUUAGCUAGUUGGUAGGGUAAAAGCCUACCAAGGCGACGAUCCAUAGCUGGUCUGAGAGGAGGAUCAGCUACACUGGGAAUGAGACACGGCCCAGACUCCUACGGGAGGGAGCAGUGGGGAAUAUUGGACAAUGGGCGAAAGCCUGAUCCAGCAAUGCCGCGUGAGUGAUGAAGGCCUUAGGGUUGUAAAGCUCUUUUACCCGGGAUGAUAAUGACAGUACCGGGAGAAUAAGCACCGGCUAACUCCGUG
rnacentral:rRNA from 1 species